ensembl:lncRNA
GCAUGGACAAGCACCAACAUAUAUAAGUGAACUUUUACAUCCAUACAUUCCCAGCAGGUCCCUGAGGUCAUGUGACCAGGGCUUGCUUGCUGUCCAACACACGAGGCUGAAAACAAAAGGCAACAAAGCUUUUGGAACUGUGGCCCCCAGAUUGUGGAACUCUCUCCCUUUGAGCCUGAGAUCUGUGGACUCAGUGGUCGCUUUUAAAAAGCAGCUAAAAACUCAUCUUUUUAAACUUGCUUUUGGUUGAUUUUGAUUUUUAGGUUUUAGCUUCUGUGAAGCACUUUGUGAUUUUUUUAUCUUGAAAGGUGCUAUAUAAAUAAAGUUUUGUUUUACUUACAAACCAAUAAACCAUCAACAAAUCAUGCCGACAAACCCAGCAACCAACUAAACAACAAAUCAAUGUGCCAACAACCAAACUAACCAAGGACUACCCAAAAAAACUAUCUAUAAACCAAAGCAUAACCAAUUUACAGACAAGCCAACCUACUUAACAAUAGAAUCGCCAACAAAUCAACCAACAAACUAACCUACAAACUAAACUGUUAAUCAAACAACAAACCAGUAAACUAGCUAUCACAUGAAACAAACAAACUUGCCAAAAAAUAAUAAUAAAAGAGCCAGCAAACCAACCGAAUUACCCAACAUUACCAACCCACCAUCCGACCAACAAAAUAACAAAUAAACCUACUAUUGAAUCUACAAACAAAACAACCAGAACCAACAAAUAAACUAACCGACAUACAAAACAACCUACAAACUAUGAAACAACUUUACUAAAUGAAUAAACUUAACAUUAACUCAUACGACAGAGCAACACAAGCAGCAAUAACAAAACAAGUAAAAACAAAAAGGCCAAAAAACAAACUAACAAAACCAACCAUCAAAACAACAAGCAAACUUACCAACAAUCACAUAAAGCAACAAAUUAAAUUAAAAAAUAACCAACCAGAAAACCUACAGAAAAAAAACAAAAACAACCAAUAAAAAACCAACAAAUUAACAAAUAGACUGAAAACAAACUAACAAACUAAGCAACAGUAAAGCAAACGUAAAUUAAUAACUAGAAAUCAGGAAAUUAACUAACCAACAGACCAAUGACAUACAGCAUAUAGGGUUUUAAUAAUAUAAAAUAAAAUAAAACUCAGUUUCCAAACCUUAGAAUAACCUGCAAAUUUUUAAUAAAAUACUCAAACUAUACCAUAUCUAAAUAUUUAUUUAAAAUAUAUGGACUGAAAAUGACUUUUUUCAGUCAGUGCAUGAAUGGAGGCCCUGUGUAAGAUUUCAAAAUGAGCUGUACUCUGCUGUGAAAUGCACCAUACAGCAUUGAUUUUAGCUGUUUAGCUGUUUUUUUCAGGUUACUUGACAUACUCUCUCCAUAUUAUCAACUGGUUAGUACCACGUGGGAGUUUUGUACCCGUAGUUGGGAAUUACUGAUGCCAUCUCCGUCUUCAGCUGCAGGCAGCUUUGCUAAGGUUUGAGUGUUUGCAAAAGCUUGUCGGUCAUAAAGAGCCUGUCAAACUUGGAGCCCUGAGAGACGCCUGAGAAUGUAGCAUUCACUGUAAAAAACAUUCCUCCGAAGGUCUUUAAACUCUCUGCAGACAGGCCUGUUUGUCGCCCUACCAUGAGCUCAGGCUGUAAAAUGUCCACCCGCUGAUGGUGCUGAUUGAAGGUGACACUUGGGCACUUUUGGGGCUCGCUGUAGUUUGGACAAAAUCUCUUUCCAGCUUUUGCUCUAUGUACAAUCUCUGAAAGAUACAUUUGAAGUUAUUCUGGCUUUUUUUUAACACACCUUCAAGCACAACAAUGUACUUUGGUUGUUACUGGAUGGAA